rnacentral:rRNA from 1 species
UACGUAGGGUGCGAGCGUUGUCCGGAAUUAUUGGGCGUAAAGAGCUUGUAGGCGGUUUGUCGCGUCUGCUGUGAAAAUCCGGGGCUCAACUCCGGACUUGCAGUGGGUACGGGCAGGCUAGAGUGUGGUAGGGGGAGACUGGAAUUCCUGGUGUAGCGGUGGAAUGCGCAGAUAUCAGGAGGAACACCGAUGGCGAAGGCAGGUCUCUGGGCCACUACUGACGCUGAGAAGCGAAAGCAUGGGGGAGCGAACAGG